GCCGUCAUAGCUCAGUUGGCAGAGCGGCUGCCUUGUAAGCAGCAGGCCGAGGGUUCGAUUCCCCCCUGACGGCUCCA
rnacentral:tRNA from 1 species